AUUCUUCCUUAAUUUCUCUUCCAAAAAUCUCAUUUCUUUCUUUUAUGAAUCUUGUUUUAUAUUAAUGUUCGUUUAAUUUUUUUUAUCAGUAAAUUAAAAUUGGCGGUUUAUAGUCUCGGGAAGAUUGAUUAGAGGCGGCUCAAGUCUAUUUGAGGCGAAAGGCAAAAAAUCUUGGUGAGGACGUCCUCCAUACAGUUUUAUAGUAUAAUUAAAUUCUAUUUUAAUUUUUCUUUACUUUUCGAGGUAGGAAUUAGUAAUUAAGUUAUAUUCAUUUAAGCUUUUAAAUGUCAUAGUACGACAACUCCAUUGAAUCUCAUUUGUGACAUAGUAGAUCUUAAAUUUAUUAAAUAAUUUUACUUUUGAAGAUUAAUUUUACUCAGGUGGGUUAAGAUGAAAACUCCUUUAAAGGUAACUUUGCCGGUAAAAAUCUUGAUUUUGUGUUCAAGAAGUCAUCAGUUCGAAUUCCCUCAUAGUCAUUGAAGAUUUGCUCAACCGGUAACUUCAUGACUCGUAAAUUAGUCUCUCACACCAAGUGAGUUGGAUGAGAUACUAAGCUCUAGAAAAAAAAAAGAUGGGUGGAGAUUAAGUCCACCCUCAUAUAUAUCAUAGGCUUACAUAAAAAUCUAAUGUAAUGUUUGAAUCAACGAAAAUAGAAAAUGUAGAUGAUCUAAUUAUCUCAAACGGUUGAAUCCCAAACACUAUCACAUGUUUAGCCUAAUUAGGAUGUACUAACACUAUCACACGUUGAGAGAGAGAGAGAGAGUACUAACUCUAGCAAAUUAGAGAGAUGGUUAACUAAUCCACUAUGUGAUUUCUAAUUGCAGAGAGUACUAACUCUAGCAAAUUAGAGAGAUGGUUAACUAAUCCACUAUGUGAUUUCUAAUUGCGCUUAGGACAAUCCGUAAAAGGCCAAGUAACUUACUACAUACUGUACCUCACGUCACACCAAUUUUAAAGUCCAAGUUAAAAUCUUUUAAUCGAAAUUUAGUUAACUUAUUUUAGUUUUUUGAUUGAAUCUUUUUAUUUUUUAUGUUCGUCUUGAUUAGAAGAAUAAAAAAAUAUAAAAAAUAUUUACAAAAUAGCCACUAGAGAAUUAAGAUCAUCCACAUUAGUCUAUCUAAAUUUGAGUCAAAUUAUAACUCAAAAAUUAUAUUUUUUGACUUAGUCAUUUUUUAAACACUAACUCUAUCAGCAUCUUCGUUCUAGUUAUAUUUCAUUAGAAUAUUAAUCUUUACUAUUUUUUUGCUAUUUCAUUGUAUGGUGCAAGUUUUUUUUUUUUGCUAUGGCUUUAUUAUUGAAAUGGUCACAUUAUUUCAAUGGUGAUAUUUUUAAAAUAUUCAUAUUGUUCCAACAAUAUUAUUUUUUUAUAAAGUUGAUUUUUACGAUAAUUAUAUGAUUUAUAUUUUUAUCUGACCUCAUAAAAUAAUGCUAUGUGGCUCUUAAUUGAACAACAUAUAAAUGGAAGAGCCAAGUGUAUAGAGUUGAUUGAUACAAUUAGAAUUGAAAAAUGCAAAUAUAUAUAUAUAAAGUAAAAAUUUAAAGUGCAAAAUGUAAUUUAUGCAAAGAAUUUAACAUGUGAACAAUGCUUGGUCAAAAAAUACUGUAGCAAAACUAAAUAUAUAUAGGUUAUUUUGGCUAUUUUAAGGUGGACCAUUUUAAAAGUUUUGCUUGCUAAAGUAGCAAAAAAUAAAUUUUAUUAUAUUAUUAUAUAUAUAUCUAUUAGUAAAAGUUUAAAGUGCCAAAAUGUAAUUUAUGCAAGAAUUUAACAUGUGAAACAAGCUUGGUCAAAAAAUUACUGUAGCAAAACUAAACUAUAUAUAGGUUAUUUUGGCUAUUUUAAGGUGGACCAUUUUAAAAGUUUUGCUUGCUAAAGUAGAAACAAAAUCCAAAAAAUAAUUUUAUAUAUAUAUUAGAAAAAUUUAAAGUGCAAAAUGUAAUUUAUGCAAAGAAUUUAACUUUGUGAAACUGCUGGUCAAAAAUACUUAGCAAAAACUAAAUAUAUAUAGGUUAUUUUGGUAUUUUAAGGUGGACCAUUUAAAAAGUUUUGCUUGCUAAAGUAGCCAAAAAAUAAUUUGGCCAACUUGAUGUGAAUACUCUAACAAGACAAGAAGGGAAAAGUUUAAAAAAAAUACAAGAUGAAAAAAACUCAUUAGUAACAACAAAUGUAAUCCAACUUAAUAAAAAUUGAACUUAACAUCCCUCGACCUAAUGGCCGAUAAACCUCCAAUGCUUCUGAGAAAGCUCGAAUUGGCGAUUCUCUAAACACAAAGGAAGUAUAAGAUCUUUAACAGAAUUACAUUUGAGGGUUAUUAAAACCUAAUAAAUGUGUUUUUUUGGUAAUUAAGUAACCUAAUAAAUAUUAUUCUAAAUUAGUUUUGUUAACUAAAAAGCAAACUAUGAGUGUGUGUGUGUUUGAAAUAGGUUUGCUAUACUUAAUAACCAAUUAAAUGAUUUUAUCAAUGAACCUAAUAUGAAAUUCUAUUUAAUCAAAUUUAUAAAUAAACAAUAACGCAAUAAAGAGUAGAGAGAAGAGAUUGCAACUAUUUUAUAAUAGUUCGGUCAAACCGUGCCUACGUCCAAUUCUUCAAACCUUCCUUGUGAUAUCACUAUCUUCAACAAGUUUUCGGAUGCUUGCAAAACUUUACACACUAGAAUAUCUCUAGUCUUCAAGGGUCUUCUACUCUUGGAUCUCUCUCAAUCACACAAUGUGAUUCCUUCAAUGAUUUACAAUGAAUAAAGUAUUUAAACCUCACCUACUCUAGAUUGAAUGAUGAAUACAAUGAAAACUCUUCUUCACUAGAGUGAUACAGGUUUCUAUUUGUUUUGUUUUUAAUCAAAAAACUCACAAUGAAUGCACAAGAGAGAUUGAAGUAUUGAAUGCUAUCAAGGAAACAAGUUUUGAACAAUUUAAUAUCUCCCCAAUAACCUCAAAAGUUGAUUUUUUAAGCCCAAAAGUGAAUAGAGAUGUUGUAGCAUUUAAUACACUGAGAAGAGCCGUUGUGAUUUGAUCUCAGCCGUCAGAUCUAUGAUAAAAUUCAAAACUUCAGUUGUGCAAUUUCCAAAAUUCGAUCUAUCGAAGUUCAUCUUUGGUUGAUUUUGAACUGAAUUUCCAAUGGCUUUGUAAACUGCUUUGUUUUAUUUUCUCGAACUUCGGUCGUCCCCAAAAUUGGACUUCAGUCGAUUGUAGAUGAACUGCAUUUCUAGAGGCUUGCUCAAUUGGUUUGUUUUGUCUUUUAACUUCAGCUGUCCUAAGUUAAACAUUUGUCUGUGCUUGAACUUUGGCUGAACAACCCUGAACUUCGGUCAACUGAAGUUAGGGUUCGGUUAUCAAAAGCCUUCAUUACCAGAGAGUAUACCUUUGCAAAUAAUUUUUCAGAGUUCUUGGCUUUAGGCUGUGCUUGAACUUCGGUUUUGAAACUUCGGUCGUACCAAUUUCAACUUUCGGUCAACCGAAGUUUAACUUCAGUCAUAUUUCCAUUGUAUUUUCAGAGACCAAGUCUUGUUUCAUCAGGAUUCAGCUGAACUUUCUAGGCUUCGACUGUUACGUUUGGUUUGACCGAACUUUUGAUAGUAGGCUUAUUUUAUUUAACACAGUUAACAAUUUGAGCCGUUGAAAGUCUAUUUUUAGUUUGAGGAUUAAACUUUUGCUUUUAACACUUUUAUAUGCAUAUACACUUCAAAUAUGACUUGCAAGAAUUCACGAUAUCCAUUUUACUUAUGUGUAAAACCAUCUUUGAGACCAUUUGUUAUUUUUCAAUGAUUUUCAAUAAAAAUUAAGUCUCGACUUAUUUUUAAUCAAUUGUAAUCAUCAAAAUUUAUAAUUUUAUUUCAACAAUCUCCCCCUUUUUGAUGAUGAAAUAAUUUAUUUUGAAAAUCGAUGUUUUUGAUUUGUCUUUUGAUAAACUCCCCUUAAUUCAAUACUCCCCCUUACUUUAUGUCAAAAAAAAAUCUAAACAUAUUGAGCAUAAGAUGCAUGACAUAUAUUCUUUCCAUUCAUAGCAUACGUAACAAUUCAUGGCACUCUAAUAUAAAACACAAGUAGUAAGGCAUUCAUACUAAAAGAUUUAAUCAUUUAACCCAAAAGACUAAGAGUUCGAAAUUAAAAAAAAAAACUAAACAUCACUUAAAUCAAACUAUAUAAAAAACGACAACUUAGGAAACUAGUCAACUCUUCUGCCCCUUUGGGGCUUCAUCAAUAAGGAGGGCUGUGGUAGUAAGGAGAUCUAGGAGGGGCAUUGGCCGGAUUGAACGGUGGAGGAGGUGGAUGUGGUCUGAGAACAUUCCAUAGACCUUCCAAAUCAGCGUGGAUAUUAGAAAAUUGUUGCACAUAUUAUCAUGCAUGGUCUUGUAAAGGCUCCCAAGCCUCUCAACCCUUUGGCCUUGUUCCUCAUAAAAAUUUCCAAGCUGAUCAACUUGUUGCCUUAACUCAUGGUUUGUGUCCCCAAGCCUAUCCAUAUAUUCCUCAUGCCACCUUUGAUUUUGUAGAAUCUCUUGUUAUUGUUGCUUGAUUUCUCUUAAAGACGCUUGCAAUUCAACAACCCAAGCUGGCGGUUUCUCUUUGAGAUGGAUAUCCUCCAUGCUCGUCUUCUACAUGAACCCCCUCACGGACUCCCUCAUGUAUAUCCUCAUGAAUUUUCUCAUGGCUAUGCUCCACUCCACUCCAUGUCUCAUAUCUUGUUCCAUAUUUGGGUCUACGUAGGCUCCCUCAAUUUGAAGAGGAAUUUCAAGAUUUUCCUCAACAUCCAUGUCAUGGGCACCCUCAUUUCCCCUUUCUUCCUCUCUUUCUUCCUCACUUGAGCCAAGAUUUCUUCCUUUCUUUAUUGUGUUCAUGGAGAAUCAUUUACUAAGCCUUGGCUUGGUUGAUCAUUUAUACUUACGUGAAAGUGAAGAAAGAUUCUAGGAAGAAAAGCAACAAAUGAUAGAGCUCGAGUGUUAUGGUUUCUCAUAUCAGCCAUUUGUUUAAGUAUGAUGUAAUUUAGGUUCAACGGUUCUUCCAUUACGGCCUUAUAAAUG
rnacentral:lncRNA from 1 species